ACGGAAGGCAGCAGUGGGGAAUAUUGGGCAAUGGGCGCAAGCCUGACCCAGCAAUGCCGCGUGAGGAAGAAGGCUUUCGGGUUGUAAACUUCUUUUAAGUGGGACGAUAAUGACGGUACCACUUGAAUGAGCUCCGGCUAACUACGUGCCAGCAGCCGCGGUAAUACGUAGGGAGCAAGCGUUAUCCGGAUUUACUGGGUGUAAAGGGCGUGUAGGCGGGACAUCAAGUCAGAUGUGAAAGCACGAGGCUCAACUUCGUGUCUGCAUUCGAAACUGACGUUCUUGAGUGUUGGAGAGGCUAACGGAACUCCUAGUGUAGCGGUGAAAUGCGUAGAUAUUAGGAAGAACACCAGUGGCGAAGGCGGUUAGCUGGACAAUAACUGACGCUGAGGCGCGAAAGCGUGGGUAGCAAACAGGAUUAGAUACCCUGGUA
rnacentral:rRNA from 1 species